AAAGCGUGGGUAGCAAACAGGAUUAGAUACCCUGGUAGUCCACGCCGUAAACGAUGUCUACUAGUCGUUGGGUCCCUUGAGGACUUAGUGACGCAGCUAACGCAAUAAGUAGACCGCCUGGGGAGUACGGCCGCAAGGUUAAAACUCAAAUGAAUUGACGGGGGCCCGCACAAGCGGUGGAGCAUGUGGUUUAAUUCGAUGCAACGCGAAGAACCUUACCUGGUCUUGACAUACACAGAAUCUUGUAGAGAUACGAGAGUGCCUUCGGGAAUUGUGAUACAGGUGCUGCAUGGCUGUCGUCAGCUCGUGUCGUGAGAUGUUGGGUUAAGUCCCGCAACGAGCGCAACCCUUGUCCUUAGUUACCAGCACUUCGGGUGGGAACUCUAAGGAUACUGCCAGUGACAAACUGGAGGAAGGCGGGGACGACGUCAAGUCAUCAUGGCCCUUACGACCAGGGCUACACACGUGCUACAAUGGUAGGUACAGAGGGCAGCUACACAGCGAUGUGAUGCGAAUCUCAAAAAGCCUAUCGUAGUCCAGAUUGGAGUCUGCAACUCGACUCCAUGAAGUAGGAAUCGCUAGUAAUCGCGGAUCAGAAUGCCGCGGUGAAUACGUUCCCGGGCCUUGUACACACCGCCCGUCACACCAUGGGAGUUGAUUGCACCAGAAGUGGUUAGCCUAACUUAGUGAGGGCGAUCACCACGGUGUGGUCGAUGACUGGGGUGAAGUCGUAACAAGGUAGCCGUAGGGGAACCUGCGGCUG
rnacentral:rRNA from 1 species